UUUGCCAAUGCAAUUUGCCUCUUAAAG
rnacentral:sRNA from 1 species